CUACGGGGUGCUCCAGUGAGGAAUAUUGCACAAUGGGGGGAACCCUGAUGCAGCAACGCCGCGUGGAGGAUGACGCAUUUCGGUGUGUAAACUCCUUUUAUAUGUCAAGAAAAUGACGGUAGCAUAUGAAUAAGCGCCGGCUAACUCCGUGCCAGCAGCCGCGGUAAUACGGAGGGCGCAAGCGUUACUCGGAAUCACUGGGCGUAAAGGACGCGUAGGCGGGUUGAAAAGUCAGGUGUGAAAGCCUACAGCUUAACUGUAGAACUGCACUUGAAACUCUCAAUCUAGAGUAUGGGAGGGGGAGAUGGAAUUAGUGGUGUAGGGGUAAAAUCCGUAGAUAUCACUAGGAAUACCUAAAGCGAAGGCGAUCUCCUGGAACAUUACUGACGCUAAGGCGUGAAAGCGUGGGGAGCAAACAGGAUUAGAUACCCCGGUAGUC
rnacentral:rRNA from 1 species